rnacentral:rRNA from 1 species
UAGCUUGUUGGCGGGGUAACUGCCCACCAAGGCUACGACGGGUAGGUGGUCUGAGAGGAUGGUCACCCACACUGGGACUGAGACACUGCCCAGACUCCUACGGGAGGCUGCAGUCGAGAAUCUUCCGCAAUGGGCGCAAGCCUGACGGAGCGAUGCCGCGUGAGGGAAGAAUGCCUUCGGGUUGUAAACCUCUGUCACCCGGGACGAAGACAAUGACGGUACCGGGGGAGGAAGUCACGGCUAACUACGUGCCAGCAGCCGCGGUAACACGUAGGUGGCUAGCGUUAUUCGGAUUCACUGGGCGUAAAGGGUCCGCAGGGGGCCUGCCAAGUCUGUCGUGAAAUCCCGGGGCUCAACCCCGGGCCUGCGGUGGAGACUGGCGGGCUGGAGUGCGUGAUGGGCAGACGGAACACCUGGUGUAGCGGUGGAAUGCGUGGAUAUCAGGUGGAACACCGACGGCGAAGGCGGUCUGCUGGCGCGCAACUGACCCUCAUGGACGAAAGCGUGGGUAGCAAACAGGAUUAGAUACCCUGGUAGUCCACGCCGUAAACUUUGAGAACCAGACAUGGUGGGGCUGGCCCCCUCCGUGUCCAAGUCAACGCGAUA